AUAAAUAUUUUCUAUUAAUAAAACAUUUGAUUUUUGACUUAGUCUUGUUUAUGUGUCCUCUUAUUUAUAACUUUUUAAUUUCUUCGAUAGAAACGUUCUGCGUCACUUCCGGUUGAAGCUUCCGGUAAUCACGCACAGGUGUGUUCAGGUGUUCUCAGGUGUGUAUAUCAUUGUCUCGAGCAGGUAAGCGGUGCGGACCGCGUGCAGCGUGGCAGCAUGUUGGAAGAAGAAGGAGCCGGGGAAGGAAACAUGAAGUCUAGAUACUCAGAACUCUGUUGACGUCUUCCAGGAGGAUCCCCCGUCGGUGACCGUCUUCCUGCUCAGAAGAUCCUUCCAGCUGCAGCACAGAUCC